rnacentral:rRNA from 1 species
UACGGGGGGUGCUAGCGUUAUUCGGAAUCAUUGGGCGUAAAGGGCGCGUAGGCGGUCUUUUAAGUCAGAUGUGAAAGCCCUCGGCUUAACCGAGGAAGUGCAUUUGAUACUAAGAGACUUGAGUAUGGGAGAGGGAAGCGGAAGUCCUGGUGUAGCGGUGAAAUGCGUAGAUAUCAGGAGGAACACCGGUGGCGAAGGCGGCUUCCUGGACCAAUACUGACGCUUAGGCGCGAAGGCGUGGGGAGCAAACAGG